AGAGAGAGAGAGAAAAAAAAAAAAAAAAAAAAACAACGGAGACCAAAAUGUAUUUAUUUUUAAGAAAGAGACGAGAAAGGCAAUAUUGUCCCACCAUGCCUUGAAAGUUAAAAUUAUCGACAUGUCGUUUCGGAUGGAGAAUAUUGUCCCACCAUGUUUGGGUUGAAUCUUCAGCCUGAGAGAAGAAACAACCCAAACAACAAGGAUGACACCAAGUAGAAAUGGUGAAGACCCAACUUAGACAAUUUCACGGCAGAAUUAAAGCUUCCGGUGGGAGAAUCGGUGGCGAAAGCGAACACUGCCCAUUGUUCAUAACACCCAAUUCCGAUCGAUGUGAAUUCAGGUUUGCUUAAGUAAUUGGCCAUUUGGGAAUGUGUACAUCCAUGAAGAACAAGAUUCGACACCAACGUUGGGAUGUGAAGGGGCAAAAUCAGGCCAUUUUUUGUGUUGUUGAGCUCGAUGUUGCACCUGGUUAGGUAGUCCGGGAGAUUGGGGAGUUGGGUUAAAUUGCUUGGAGUAAUGUUGGAGCCGCUGGUGAAGAUGCUGAGGGGCAACUGAUCGUCGAAGUCCCAAGCAAUUUGCUUGACGAAGCAGUCUGCUUUUGAGUUCCUAUUCAUGGGGGUAAGUUCUUUGGAACUUCUGUAAAUGUUCAUGGCUUUGAAAAGUGUGUCUUCAUUCACUGCAAAUGAUGGAGGAUUGAGUGUGAGGUUUUAUGUGGCAGCAAUAAGGGAAAUAACGUCUAUGGAUAAGGGAGAACUGUAAUUGUGAGAUUGCAAAAGAACCCAGCAAAGAUAUGGGACUACGGAACUAUGUGUGUGAGAGUGUUUAGAAGCAUAGAAAUAGAUAGAGAGAGCCAUCGCAAUGCACAGAAGAACCCAUCAAAGACUAGGAACUACGGAACUCUUGUGUUUCGUGUGUGUGUGUAUAUUGAGAAAGAGGGAGAGUGAACCAUCACAGUGCACUAAGCUCGCCAAUAGCAACAAGCCAUGGGCAAGACCGCAGAGGUAGAGGCCAAGUUUGGGGGUGGUGAAGGCCAUUGUGCUGCUGUAGGGUAAAGGAGAUGGCAUCAGAUCUGCAUGGACAGGAAGAGUCGAAUAGAAAUAAUUAGUAUUUGAGGUUCUUGCUUUCUUUAGUCUUUUCCUUUUUGUUUCUUCUGCCAUUGGGGCAUCUUAGAAUUUGCUUGUUCUGUUAAUAUUGCUUUGCUUUAUUCAUGAAGGGUAUGGGGUUCCCAUGUCCAACUUUAUGUAUUCAUAAAUGGUAACUAAUGGAGUAAAUGGAAUUAAAGGUGCUCAAGGGACAACUAUUAGUUGCUCAAUCAUUUUGCUUGUAAAGGCGUAUACGUAUAAAAGCCCUCUACUUCAGGUCUAAAAAUCCCAUCUACGUCAGGUAGUCAGGUUUGAAGUUUAAUUCAUCAGUGUACGAAGAUAUGACAAGAAGGCCAGCCAUUCGUCUUUCACUAAAGAGCUGUAAGUUCAACUGACUUUAUCAUACCGUCUAUUUCUUUGAUGAAUGUGCCAGGAAAGGUGACGGAAAAAUCUUAGCUUGAAAAUGUGGAGAAAAGGAUUUGUAAAGAAAAAUAUUUUUGGGCAACUCCAUAAAACUAGUUGGAGAAUUUCAAGUUCUGUUUGCAUGAAUCAUCUAGGAGGAAGCAAACAAUGUAGAAGAGCACAAAGACUGAGGAAACAUUUCAGGAAAGCCAUGGCAGUUUCAAAUCAGCGCUGGGAGCAGAAAUAUGUGUCUGUCAUGAAAAAGCAAACACAAAAAACAAUGAGAAUCAAUCAGUUUGUUUCUCUUAUUUCAUAACCUUCCUUUUCUUUUUCGUUUCUUUUUUGGCUUGUUUGUUAAAUUAUAUCUUCGUUUGUGUGUUUUUUGCCUUGGAAAUGAAGGUAACAAAAUUCCACUCCCUACUGCAAACAUGUGAAACAUGUUGCUGUCCUUGGAACCAGGCAAAAAAGUUAAAAGGAAAAGAAAAAGAACAAGAACACGGCGAAGAAGAAAUGGCUUAUCCUCUUACGAUAUUCAAAUGUGGGAAGGCGAUAUUUGAAUUUUGGAUCAACUUGUUCAUUCAAUUAGAUUUAGUCAUCGGAUUAGCUCGAAUUGGUUGUUUCUGUCCUUGAGGUCCCAUCUGAUCAAUAUUUUGUUCUUUUUUAAAUUUCGAUUGUUUUCUCACCACUUUUCAUGUUUUUCAUAAUCUACCAAAUAUACAUUUAAAUUCUUAGUUAAAUUAUAUUUCUAAUAUGCUUUUAGUUUUCAUGUAGAUGGAAGGGAAGAAUUUUCUUUAUGCCUCUUCAACAUAUUGGCCAAGCAGCAUCAUUGGCUAAAUGUGUGACAUCUCCAUGAAAAUCUUAUUCUUUGAUCUGAAGCAAGAAUGUAAAAUGAGAAGGAAUAGGCUUUCGUAAAGCUAAGCUCUGAGCAUAUCUUGGGAAGCACAUCAAGAAAAAGAGAAAAAAAAAAGAGCUGUACUUGCCUGUUGAAGCAUAUGUUCUUGUUAUUCAUUUAUUUAUUUUCUUUUUAAAAUUCCAACUUUGCUUGAAGGCUCACGUUUGCGAAUUAAAAGAAAAAUGGUAUAUGUCUCUACAUGUUUGAAUUAUUCUGAUGUAUACAAAUUUAGAAACUUCAACUUGAAAACCAAUGUUGAAGGAGAUGAGAGACUGAAUUAGUUUGAGUUAUAGCUAAGAAAUUUAUUGUUUAGUAUUA